rnacentral:misc_RNA from 1 species
CAAAUGUAUGCAAAGGUAGCUUGAAUGACAUAUCAGCACAGGGAAUCCCCCUAACACUAGAACCAUGAAGGUGCAACUCAUCGGCAUUCUGAUUCUGAAAGGGUGUUGAUAAAGAAUGGAAGGUUAAAAAGCAGGCAUCCAGAUUCUGUAGCGUAGGACCCAUGGGGAUCCUAUAUAUGGGAUACCAAGCAACAGAAAUCCAACUUGAAGGUGACAGUUCACAGCUCCUAUAUGUCUCCAGUUCUGGAAACUGAGAUGCGAGAACUGAGAUCUUGUCAGCCAAUGGUUGACGAGUAAAUGGUGAAGCGUGCUCCAUGUAUUGAAAAACAAGAUGACCUGAAGGUUUGGAAAUCUCACAUUCAUCACUUGAUGAACCUCUGAAAGGUUUAUUUCUCAGUGAGAGUCUAUUCAAACUCUUAAUAUUUGCAUCUAUCACGUUUUUCUGGGUCCAAUUCCACUGAACAGCAUUCUUUACUCCUCUAUCUGCUCCGUAGUCACUGCUACCCUCACUACUGGUUUCCUUGGAUGACUCAGCAUCACUAUCUUCUCCUUAGCCUUGGACAGGGUCUUGAUGGGUCUAUAUACAGCUGAAUGCCAGACAAGUAGGGAACAUAGUACUGCAUAACAGUUUCACUUCCAUUUAACAGCAAGGGAACACCCGCACCAUAGGCAUCUUUAAAAGAUUCCCAUAGAUCACCCAGUAUAAAGUAUGGGUGGUACUCUGCUUCACGAGUUCUCCAUCCCCGGAUGCUUGUCUUUGGCAAAUAUUGGGCAGG